GUACUCACUUCAGCAGCAUAUAUGCUAAAAUUGGAAUGAUACAGAGAAGAUUAGCACAGCCCCUGAGCAAGGAUGACACACAAAUUCAUGCAGCUUUUGCUAUUGUU